UACGGAGGGGGCUAGCGUUGUUCGGAAUUACUGGGCGUAAAGCGCGCGUAGGCGGACCUGCAAGUCGGGGGUGAAAGCCCGAGGCUCAACCUCGGAACUGCCUUCGAUACUGCGGGUCUCGAGUCCGGGAGAGGUGAGUGGAAUUCCUAGUGUAGAGGUGAAAUUCGUAGAUAUUAGGAAGAACACCAGUGGCGAAGGCGGCUCACUGGCCCGGUACUGACGCUGAGGCGCGAAAGCGUGGGGAAGCGAACAGG
rnacentral:rRNA from 1 species